rnacentral:rRNA from 1 species
AGUGAACGCUGGCGGUAGGCCUAACACAUGCAAGUCGAACGGCAGCACAGUAAGAGCUUGCUCUUACGGGUGGCGAGUGGCGGACGGGUGAGGAAUACAUCGGAAUCUACUUUUUCGUGGGGGAUAACGUAGGGAAACUUACGCUAAUACCGCAUACGACCUACGGGUGAAAGCAGGGGAUCUUCGGACCUUGCGCGAUUGAAUGAGCCGAUGUCGGAUUAGCUAGUUGGCGGGGUAAAGGCCCACCAAGGCGACGAUCCGUAGCUGGUCUGAGAGGAUGAUCAGCCACACUGGAACUGAGACACGGUCCAGACUCCUACGGGAGGCAGCAGUGGGGAAUAUUGGACAAUGGGCGCAAGCCUGAUCCAGCCAUACCGCGUGGGUGAAGAAGGCCUGCGGGUUGUAAAGCCCUUUUGUUGGGAAGGAAAAGCAGCAGGUUAAUACCCCGCUGUUCUGACGGUACCCAAAGAAUAAGCACCGGCUAACUUCGU